CGUAGUCGAUGGGAAACAGGUUAAUAUUCCUGUACUUGGUGUUACUGCGAAGGGGGGACGGAGAAGGCUAUGUUGGCCGGGCGACGGUUGUCCCGGUUUAAGCGUGUAGGCUGGUUUUCCAGGCAAAUCCGGAAAACCAAGGCUGAGGCGUGAUGACGAGGCACUACGGUGCUGAAGCGACAAAUGCCCUGCUUCCAGGAAAAGCCUCUAAGCAUCAGGUAACAUCAAAUCGUACCCCAAACCGACACAGGUGGUCAGGUAGAGAAUACCAAGGCGCUUGAGAGAACUCGGGUGAAGGAACUAGGCAAAAUGGUGCCGUAACUUCGGGAGAAGGCACGCUGAUAUGUAGGUGAAGCGACUUGCUCGUGGAGCUGAAAUCAGUCGAAGAUACCAGCUGGCUGCAACUGUUUAUUAAAAACACAGCACUGUGCAAACACGAAAGUGGACGUAUACGGUGUGACGCCUGCCCGGUGCCGGAAGGUUAAUUGAUGGGGUUAGCGGCAACGCGAAGCUCUUGAUCGAAGCCCCGGUAAACGGCGGCCGUAACUAUAACGGUCCUAAGGUAGCGAAAUUCCUUGUCGGGUAAGUUCCGACCUGCACGAAUGGCGUAAUGAUGGCCAGGCUGUCUCCACCCGAGACUCAGUGAAAUUGAACUCGCUGUGAAGAUGCAGUGUACCCGCGGCAAGACGGAAAGACCCCGUGAACCUUUACUAUAGCUUGACACUGAACAUUGAGCCUUGAUGUGUAGGAUAGGUGGGAGGCUUUGAAGUGUGGACGCCAGUCUGCAUGGAGCCGACCUUGAAAUACCACCCUUUAAUGUUUGAUGUUCUAACGUUGGCCCCUAAUCGGGGUUGCGGACAGUGUCUGGUGGGUAGUUUGACUGGGGCGGUCUCCUCCUAAAGAGUAACGGAGGAGCACGAAGGUUGGCUAAUCCUGGUCGGACAUCAGGAGGUUAGUGCAAUGGCAUAAGCCAGCUUGACUGCGAGCGUGACGGCGCGAGCAGGUGCGAAAGCAGGUCAUAGUGAUCCGGUGGUUCUGAAUGGAAGGGCCAUCGCUCAACGGAUAAAAGGUACUCCGGGGAUAACAGGCUGAUACCGCCCAAGAGUUCAUAUCGACGGCGGUGUUUGGCACCUCGAUGUCGGCUCAUCACAUCCUGGGGCUGAAGUAGGUCCCAAGGGUAUGGCUGUUCGCCAUUUAAAGUGGUACGCGAGCUGGGUUUAGAACGUCGUGAGACAGUUCGGUCCCUAUCUGCCGUGGGCGCUGGAGAACUGAGGGGGGCUGCUCCUAGUACGAGAGGACCGGAGUGGACGCAUCACUGGUGUUCGGGUUGUCAUGCCAAUGGCACUGCCCGGUAGCUAAAUGCGGAAGAGAUAAGUGCUGAAAGCAUCUAAGCACGAAACUUGCCCCGAGAUGAGUUCUCCCUGAGACUUAGAGUCUCCUGAAGGAACGUUGAAGACGACGACGUUGAUAGGCCGGGUGUGUAAGCGCAGCGAUGCGUUGAGCUAACCGGUACUAAUGAACCGUGAGGCUUA
rnacentral:rRNA from 1 species